GCCAGCUUGCUGGGUGGAUUAGUGGCGAACGGGUGAGUAACACGUGAGUAACCUGCCCUUAACUCUGGGAUAAGCCUGGGAAACUGGGUCUAAUACCGGAUAGGAGCGUCCACCGCAUGGUGGGUGUUGGAAAGAUUUAUCGGUUUUGGAUGGACUCGCGGCCUAUCAGCUUGUUGGUGAGGUAAUGGCUCACCAAGGCGACGACGGGUAGCCGGCCUGAGAGGGUGACCGGCCACACUGGGACUGAGACACGGCCCAGACUCCUACGGGAGGCAGCAGUGGGGAAUAUUGCACAAUGGGCGAAAGCCUGAUGCAGCGACGCCGCGUGAGGGAUGACGGCCUUCGGGUUGUAAACCUCUUUCAGUAGGGAAGAAGCGAAAGUGACGGUACCUGCAGAAGAAGCACCGGCUAACUACGUGCCAGCAGCCGCGGUAAUACGUAGGGUGCGAGCGUUAUCCGGAAUUAUUGGGCGUAAAGAGCUCGUAGGCGGUUUGUCGCGUCUGUCGUGAAAGUCCGGGGCUUAACCCCGGAUCUGCGGUGGGUACGGGCAGACUAGAGUGCAGUAGGGGAGACUGGAAUUCCUGGUGUAGCGGUGGAAUGCGCAGAUAUCAGGAGGAACACCGAUGGCGAAGGCAGGUCUCUGGGCUGUAACUGACGCUGAGGAGCGAAAGCAUGGGGAGCGAACAGGAUUAGAUACCCUGGUAGUCCAUGCCGUAAACGUUGGGCACUAGGUGUGGGGACCAUUCCACGGUUUCCGCGCCGCAGCUAACGCAUUAAGUGCCCCGCCUGGGGAGUACGGCCGCAAGGCUUAAACUCAAAGGAAUUGACGGGGGCCGCACAAGCGGCGGAGCAUGCGGAUUAAUUCGAUGCAACGCGAAGAACCUUACCAAGGCUUGACAUGUUCUCGAUCGCCGUAGAGAUACGGUUCCCCUUUGGGCGGUUCACAGGUGGUGCAUGGUUGUCGUCAGCUCGUGUCGUGAGAUGUUGGGUUAAGUCCCGCAACGAGCGCA
rnacentral:rRNA from 1 species